rnacentral:rRNA from 1 species
AAUCAACGCUGGCGGCGUGCCCCAGACAUGCAAGUCGAACGCGAAAGUCCCCUUCGGGGGACAAGUAGAGUGGCGCACGGGUGAGUAACACGUAGGUAAUCUACCUUCGGAUGGGGAAUAACAACCGGAAACGGUUGCUAAUACCGCAUAAUGCAGCGGCACCUAAUGGUGACAGUUGUUAAAGCGGGGGAUCGUAAGACCUCGCGUCUGAAGAGGAGCCUGCGGCGGAUUAGCUAGUUGGAAGGUAAUGGCUUACCAAGGCUACGAUCCGUAACCGGCCUGAGAGGGCGGUCGGUCACACUGACACUGACAUACGGGUCAGACUCCUACGGGAGGCAGCAGUCGGGAAUUUUGGGCAAUGGGCGAAAGCCUGACCCAGCAACGCCGCGUGAAGGAUGAAAUCCCUCGGGAUGUAAACUUCGCAAGAACGGGAAGAAUAAGCGAGAGUUAAUAUCUUUCGUGAUGACGGUACCGUUUGUAAGCUCCGGCUAACUCCGUGCCAGCAGCCGCCGUAAC